rnacentral:rRNA from 1 species
UGCAGUCGAACGGCAGCGCGGGAGCAAUCCUGGCGGCGAGUGGCGAACGGGUGAGUAAUACAUCGGAACGUGCCCAAUCGUGGGGGAUAACGCAGCGAAAGCUGUGCUAAUACCGCAUAAGAUCUACGGAUGAAAGCAGGGGAUCGCAAGACCUUGCGCGAAUGGAGCGGCCGAUGGCAGAUUAGGUAGUUGGUGAGGUAAAGGCUCACCAAGCCUUCGAUCUGUAGCUGGUCUGAGAGGACGACCAGCCACACUGGGACUGAGACACGGCCCAGACUCCUACGGGAGGCAGCAGUGGGGAAUUUUGGACAAUGGGCGAAAGCCUGAUCCAGCCAUGCCGCGUGCAGGAUGAAGGCCUUCGGGUUGUAAACUGCUUUUGUACGGAACGAAAAGGUCUCCUCUAAUAAAGGGGGCUCAUGACGGUACCGUAAGAAUAAGCACCGGCUAACUACGUGCCAGCAGCCGCGGUAAUACGUAGGGUGCAAGCGUUAAUCGGAAUUACUGGGCGUAAAGCGUGCGCAGGCGGUUAUGUAAGACAGUUGUGAAAUCCCCGGGCUCAACCUGGGAACUGCAUCUGUGACUGCAUAGCUAGAGUACGGUAGAGGGGGAUGGAAUUCCGCGUGUAGCAGUG